rnacentral:rRNA from 1 species
GGAUAACUACCCUUUAGGACCGGGAUAACUUGGGAAACUGAGGAUAAUACUGGAUAGGCAAUUAUUCCUGCAAUGGUUUUUUGUUUAAAUGUUUUUUCGCCUAAGGAUGGGUCUGCGGCCGAUUAGGUAGUUGGUUAGGUAAUGGCUUACCAAGCCGUUGAUCGGUACGGGUUGUGAGAGCAAGAGCCCGGAGAUGGAACCUGAGACAAGGUUCCAGGCCCUACGGGGUGCAGCAGGCGCGAAACCUCCGCAAUGUGAGAAAUCGCGACGGGGGGAUCCCAAGUGCCAUUCUUAACGGGAUGGCUUUUCAUUAGUGUAAAGAGCUUUUGGAAUAAGGGCUGGGCAAGACCGGUGCCAGCCGCCGCGGUAACACCGGCAGCUCUAGUGGUAGCAGUUUUUAUUGGGCCUAAAGCGUCCGUAGCCGGUUUAAUAAGUCUCUGGUGAAAUCCUGUAGCUUAACUGUGGGAAUUGCUGGAGAUACUAUUAGACUUGAGACCGGGAGAGGUUAGAGGUACUCCCAGGGUAGAGGUGAAAUUCUGUAAUCCUGGGAGGACCGCCUGUUGCGAAGGCGUCUAACUGGAACGGUUCUGACGGUGAGGGACGAAAGUUAGGGGCGCGAACCGGAUUAGAUACCCGGGUAGUCCUAACCGUAAACGAUGCGGACUUGGUGUUGGGGUGGCUUUGAGCUGCUCCAGUGCCGAAGGGAAGCUGUUAAGUCCGCCGCCUGGGAAGUACGGUCGCAAGACUGAAACUUA